rnacentral:lncRNA from 1 species
GCUAUCUUUAGACAUGACUGACUUUAAAUAGAUGCCCUUGGUUGCUGCAUGGAAAAUGGAUUGCAGGGAGAAGCAAUAGUUAGAGCAGGUCUGCAGGGGAGUGAUGGUGGGCACACAGACCACAGAGACAAUCAGAGAGGAAGACUGAGGGCAGAGAUGCAAGAGCUAAGUCUGCCAGGGUGCGCCCAAAUCCAAGAUGGUGUCCUCAGGAGAACAGGAAGUUUGAACACACGGAGAGACCCCAGGGCGUGCGAGGGGCCAGCAAGGCAGCCACUAUCUGUAAGCCAAGGAGACACACCGCAAGCGAAACCAGCCCUGCCAGCGCUUUGGUCUUGGACUUCCCGUCCUCCAGAAAUUUAAGAAAAUAGAUUUCUGUUUUAAGCCACUCGAACUGUCGUGUUUUGUUAAGGCAACCCUAGGAAAUGAAUACAAUAUAGUAAGGAAAAGCAAUCACUUGGAUGAUGGAAAAUUAAGAGGACUUUAGGAGUAUUGAAGGUAACAAGGUAACACACCCCCC